UUCAUACUUCCUCCGUGCAAUAAAAGAUGUCUCAAGUUUGUCAAAAAUUAGAUGUAUCUAGACAUGACUUAAUAUAUAGAUUUAUUUAAAUUUAGUUAAAGUUGAUACAUCUUUUGUUGUACGGAGAGAGCACGAG
rnacentral:pre_miRNA from 1 species